rnacentral:rRNA from 1 species
CCAUACCUACGGGAGGCAGCAGUGAGGAAUAUUGGUCAAUGGCCGAGAGGCUGAACCAGCCAAGUCGCGUGAGGGAUGACGGCCCUACGGGUUGUAAACCUCUUUUGCCGGGGAGCAAAGAGCGGGACGCGUCCCGCCUCGAGAGUACCCGGAGAAAAAGCAUCGGCUAACUCCGUGCCAGCAGCCGCGGCAAUACGGAAGAUGCGAGCGUUAUCCGGAUUUAUUGGGUUUAAAGGGUGCGCAGGCGGAAGCGCAAGUCGGCGGUAAAAUUGAGAGGCUCAACCUCUUCCCGCCGUUGAAACUGG